UGCAAGUCGAGCGGAUGAAGGGAGCUUGCUCCUGGAUUCAGCGGCGGACGGGUGAGUAAUGCCUAGGAAUCUGCCUGGUAGUGGGGGAUAACGUCCGGAAACGGGCGCUAAUACCGCAUACGUCCUGAGGGAGAAAGUGGGGGAUCUUCGGACCUCACGCUAUCAGAUGAGCCUAGGUCGGAUUAGCUAGUUGGUGGGGUAAAGGCCUACCAAGGCGACGAUCCGUAACUGGUCUGAGAGGAUGAUCAGUCACACUGGAACUGAGACACGGUCCAGACUCCUACGGGAGGCAGCAGUGGGGAAUAUUGGACAAUGGGCGAAAGCCUGAUCCAGCCAUGCCGCGUGUGUGAAGAAGGUCUUCGGAUUGUAAAGCACUUUAAGUUGGGAGGAAGGGCAGUAAGUUAAUACCUUGCUGUUUUGACGUUACCAACAGAAUAAGCACCGGCUAACUUCGUGCCAGCAGCCGCGGUAAUACGAAGGGUGCAAGCGUUAAUCGGAAUUACUGGGCGUAAAGCGCGCGUAGGUGGUUCAGCAAGUUGGAUGUGAAAUCCCCGGGCUCAACCUGGGAACUGCAUCCAAAACUACUGAGCUAGAGUACGGUAGAGGGUGCGGAAUUUCCUGUGUAGCGGUGAAAUGCGUAGAUAUAGGCGACACAGUGGCCGAC
rnacentral:rRNA from 1 species